rnacentral:rRNA from 1 species
CACGUAGGUGGUGCGCUAAGUCACGUGUGAAAUCCCCCGGCUUAACCGGGGAAUGGCGCGUGAUACUGGCGGACUUGAGGCGGGUAGGGGUGAGCGGAACUCCAGGUGUAGCGGUGAAAUGCGUAGAUAUCAGGAGGAACACCUGUGGCGAAGGCGUCCAUCUGGCCCGUUACUGACGCUGAUGCGCGAAAGCUAGGGGAGCAAACG